CGCCGAUAUCUGACGUGCAGGAUGAGAACCUGCUGCAGGUUCGACUGAAUCGCAAAGCAGUUCAGGCUGAUGCGCCAGCCUCACCCGCAGGGCGAGGCCAGUAAACAAGACUAUCCUGCGCCGCUCACCC
rnacentral:sRNA from 1 species